GCACUUAAAUCUUCCCAUUCCUUGCCGCUUCAUGCUGUGUGGGGACAGAUGUGCUACAGUACAAGCAGAAGUCCAGACAGGUUGUUUCCAUUUGUUUUGGAGUCUGUCUCUACACCUCAGCCACACUU